GAUGAACGCUAGCGGCAGGCUUAACACAUGCAAGUCGAGGGGCAGCAUAAUGGGUAGCAAUAUCUAUGGUGGCGACCGGCGCACGGGUGCGUAACGCGUAUGCAACCUACCUUUAACAGGGGGAUAACACUGAGAAAUUGGUACUAAUACCCCAUAAUAUCAUAGAAGGCAUCUUUUAUGGUUGAAAAUUCCGAUGGUUAGAGAUGGGCAUGCGUUGUAUUAGCUAGUUGGUGGGGUAACGGCUCACCAAGGCGACGAUACAUAGGGGGACUGAGAGGUUAACCCCCCACACUGGUACUGAGACACGGACCAGACUCCUACGGGAGGCAGCAGUGAGGAAUAUUGGUCAAUGGACGCAAGUCUGAACCAGCCAUGCCGCGUGCAGGAUGACGGCUCUAUGAGUUGUAAACUGCUUUUGUACGAGGGUAAACGCAGAUACGUGUAUCUGUCUGAAAGUAUCGUACGAAUAAGGAUCGGCUAACUCCGUG
rnacentral:rRNA from 1 species